rnacentral:rRNA from 1 species
UACGUAGGGUGCGAGCGUUAAUCGGAAUUACUGGGCGUAAAGCGUGCGCAGGCGGUGAUGUAAGACAGAUGUGAAAUCCCCGGGCUCAACCUGGGAACUGCAUUUGUGACUGCAUCGCUGGAGUGCGGCAGAGGGGGAUGGAAUUCCGCGUGUAGCAGUGAAAUGCGUAGAGAUGUGGAGGAACACCGAUGGCGAAGGCAGCCUCCUGGGCCAGCACUGACGCUCAUGCACGAAAGCGUGGGGAGCAAACAGG